CGCUGGAACGGCGUCUAAUACUGGAUACGAACCGUGGAGGCAUCUUCAACGGUUGGAAAGAUUUUUUGGUCAGGGAUGAGCUCGCGGCCUAUCAGCUUGUUGGUGAGGUAAUGGCUCACCAAGGCGUCGACGGGUAGCCGGCCUGAGAGGGUGACCGGCCACACUGGGACUGAGACACGGCCCAGACUCCUACGGGAGGCAGCAGUGGGGAAUAUUGCACAAUGGGCGAAAGCCUGAUGCAGCAACGCCGCGUGAGGGAUGACGGCCUUCGGGUUGUAAACCUCUUUUAGCAGGGAAGAAGCGAAAGUGACGGUACCUGCAGAAAAAGCGCCGGCUAACUACGUGCCAGCAGCCGCGGUUAAUACGA
rnacentral:rRNA from 1 species